rnacentral:lncRNA from 1 species
UAAAUGUUUGAUAUUGUUUCUCUAAAGUAUUAAUAUUAUUUAAUUUUCGAAUUUCAAAUCCUUUAUUUAUAAGGAUUGGUUUUAGCCAUUCAAAGAAACCUAUGGUACAUUUAUUUCUUUUUAGAAAUGUAUUAUAAUUUUUAUGUAUUUUUUCUAUUAAUUCCUUUCGAGAAGUAGUUAAAUACUAGUUUUUUAUAUCUGUAUAUUCAAUAGAGAGAUAGUCAAUUUUUAUUUAUUCUAGAUCAACCGUUUGUUUCUUUUGAAUAGUUAAUAUUUGAAAAUCUAUUUCAGAGUCCACAUUCUCACUGUGAGAAGUACUUGUGUUUAUUGAUCUAUAUUCUGGUUUAAUAAUAUCAUUUCUCGUUCUGACUACUCCUUGUAUUUCAGGUUCGGAAUAUAUCGAAGAUGUUGAUUUUCAAGGAGAGAUGGCUAUCCUACU